ACUACGAGAUGGUGACCUCGCUGGGAUUUCCCAUUCCCAAACCUGAGCUGAUUGUCCAGCUGGAACGAGGGGAAGAGCCGUGGGUGCCCGAUCUCCAGGCCUGCGAGGAAAGAAGGCUUCCGAGAUGCCCCCAUACAGGCUGAGGAAUCACGUCCAUGUUUCGGUCCAGAUGGGCCCAUCUUCCAGGACACAGGGAAGGGAAAUGUUUGUGAUGGAGCCAGCUGCCAUGCCGGUGACCUUUGAGGAGGUAGCUGUGUAUUUCACCCAGGAACAGGGGGCUCUGCUGGACCCCGCUCAGAGAGCCCUCUACAGGGAUGUCAUGCAGGA